CUGUGGGUGUCGAAGAGGAGUUCCUCGUCGUCGACCUCGAGAGCCGGCGGCUGGCCCCGCUGGCCCAGGCCGUUCUGAACCGGCUCCCGCAGAC
rnacentral:tRNA from 1 species